rnacentral:rRNA from 1 species
CCUACGGGCGGCUGCAGUGGGGAAUAUUGCACAAUGGGCGCAAGCCUGAUGCAGCCAUGCCGCGUGUGUGAAGAAGGCCUUCGGGUUGUAAAGCACUUUCAGCGGGGAGGAAGGCGUUAAGGUUAAUAACCUUGUCGAUUGACGUUACCCGCAGAAGAAGCACCGGCUAACUCCGUGCCAGCAGCCACGGUAAUACGGAGGGUGCAAGCGUUAAUCGGAAUUACUGGGCGUAAAGCGCACGCAGGCGGUCUGUCAAGUCGGAUGUGAAAUCCCCGGGCUCAACCUGGGAACUGCAUUCGAAACUGGCAGGCUAGAGUCUUGUAGAGGGGGGUAGAAUUCCAGGUGUAGCGGUGAAAUGCGUAGAGAUCUGGAGGAAUACCGGUGGCGAAGGCGGCCCCCUGGACAAAGACUGACGCUCGGGUGCGAAAGCGUGGGGAGCAAACAGGAUUAGAUACCCGAGUAGUC